CUGGGUGGUAAUCGGGGUUCUGUUUCCCGUUGGUGGGGCUACAACCCACCGCCUAGGCCUCGGCCACAUUACC
rnacentral:tRNA from 1 species